rnacentral:rRNA from 1 species
AGUGAACGCUGGCGGUAGGCCUAACACAUGCAAGUCGAACGGCAGCACAGUAAGAGCUUGCUCUUACGGGUGGCGAGUGGCGGACGGGUGAGGAAUACAUCGGAAUCUACUUUUUCGUGGGGGAUAACGUAGGGAAACUUACGCUAAUACCGCAUACGACCUACGGGUGAAAGCAGGGGAUCUUCGGACCUUGCGCGAUUGAAUGAGCCGAUGUCGGAUUAGCUAGUUGGCGGGGUAAAGGCCCACCAAGGCGACGAUCCGUAGCUGGUCUGAGAGGAUGAUAAGCCACACGGGAACUGAGACACGGUCCAGACUCCUAAGGGAGGCAGCAGUGGGGAAUAUUGGACAAUGGGCGCAAGCAUGAUCCAGCCAUACCGCGUGGGUGAAGAAGGCCUUCGGGUUGUAAAGCCCUUUUGUUGGGAAAGAAAAGCAGCAGGUUAAUACCCCGCUGUUCUGACGGUACCCAAAGAAUAAGCACCGGCUAACUUCGUG